GCUUGUCUCAAAGAUUAAGCCAUGCAUGUCUAAGUACAUACUUUUGCACGGUGAAACCGCGAAUGGCUCAUUAAAUCAGUUAUGGUUUCUUAGAUCGUUUCUUUUACAUGGAUAACUGUGGUAAUUCUAGAGCUAAUACAUGCAAAAAGCUCCGACCGUAUGGGAAGAGCGCUUUUAUUAGACCAAAACCAAUGGGGUCGCAAGAUCCCUUUGUUUGGUGACUCUGGAUAACUUUCUGCUGAUCGCAUGGCCUAGCGCCGGCGACGUAUCUUUCAAGUGUCUGCCCUAUCAACUUUCGAUGGUAAGCGAUUUGCCUACCAUGGUUGUAACGGGUAACGGGGAAUCAGGGUUCGAUUCCGGAGAGGGAGCAUGAGAAAUGGCUACCACAUCUAAGGAAGGCAGCAGG
rnacentral:rRNA from 1 species